UUAUUUUUUCAAGACAUCUGCCAUUAGUAUUUCAAAAGAAAAGAUUGGAAAUGCUUCUUAUUUUCUCUUUUGCAUUAGAUUGCCGACACAUAAUCUCUCCUCUUAAGAUUCAAACGUAAUUUAGAAAAUUUGACUGAUUUACCUUCCGUUGAAUCUACCCAAGCAGAGCAGUAGGUCAUCCUAGACUUGAACACGAGAAAUCACUCGUGAAGUAAAUCAUUGCACCGGUCUUCCAACUAUUGGAAGAGAAUCAAUAGAUUUCUUUUUUUUAAGAGUAAUUCAUCCUUCCAAAAUACAGCAUACAACUCUCUGUUGUACCAUGUUCUCCAAGGGUGCUUGUUCCUCCUCUCUGCCGAGUCUGUAUGAAAUAAUUCCAAUAAGAAGAAAAAUUGAAGGCCUUAAUAGACCCUCGUAUCCCAACCCAAGAAACUCUAAAGAUCCUUUUUUCAAACCUACUCCCAUUCUAGUCAAGAGAUACAAGCAGACACAUGAAAUUGCAGUGAUCGGGUGCGUUAAUAGUGAUUGAGGGGUAUUGAAGACCAAGAAGUGAGUUAUUUAUACUGAGCAUUCUUCUUACGAUUAGAUCUAAUCUCCAGGUCCUGGUGGAAAGAAAAAGGUAUUUCAAUCUUCCUCUCAAGAAGAGGGAGGAUUAGGGUAGAAGACCUGGCUUUGGACGUGGAGCUGGUGACUUUGGUGCACCACCACCAAGUUAAUACUGCCCGUAUGUGUCCAUUCUUCAAGUUUGAUUGUAUUUUGCAAAUUUACGGUCAAGUUAUGGAAAAUAUAGAAUAUUGGAGUCCUAAAUUUGCGCAAAAAUAUCUGAGCUGAGUCCCCUUCAAUUUUCUGUGUAAUAUUUAGCCGAUGUCUACAAUUUUGUUUAUGUCGUUUAGAUUUCGACGAUGAGUACACUCAUACGGCAGGCUGGCUUUAUUUUAUUUAGAACAAAAUUCUUGUUUUA